CAUUACUGAAGAAACAAGGGUUUUGAGACUGCGUCCUUCAAUUGGGCGUGUGCUCGACUCUUACUCUUUCAUAUCCCAUACACACCUUUGUGCACCAAGGGGACCCUUGUGUCCCCCUUUUUUUCAUAAAUACCGAGUUAUAUGCAUGUAUAGUUUGUAUACUCUACGGAGUUAUUAUAAAUACAACUUUCAACAACGGAUCUCUUGGCUUUCGCAUCGAUGAAGAACGCAGCGAACGUGCGAAACGUAAUGUGAAUUGCAGAAUUCAGUGAAUCAUCGAAUCUUUGAACGCAUCUUGCGCUCCUUGGUAUUCCGAGGAGCAUGCCUGUUUGAGUGUCGUGAAUAACUCUCAAUUUCAAAUAUUUUUAAAAAAAAAGAAUAUCUGACAUUGGACUUGGGCGUUGUCGUGUUUCUACGACUCGUCCUAAAUGCAUUAGCGAUCUGCCCUGAUCACACACAAUGUGAUAAGUAAAAAAUAAAGCAUUGUUAUGGUUGGGUUUGAAAGAUGGCUUCUAACCGUCGUAAUGACAAAUAAAAGACCAUGUCGUUUGACCUCAAAUCAGGCAGGACUACCCGCUGAACUUAAGCAUAUCAAUA
rnacentral:rRNA from 1 species